UCAAGCAAGUAAAAGCAAAGGGUGAAUGCCUAGGCACCGAAAGCCGAAGAAGGACGCAGACAGCUGCGAAAAGCCACGGGGAGGCGCAAACAGCCAGUGAGCCGUGGGUAUCCGAAUGGGGGAACCCGGCAGAGCAAACCUCUGUCACCGUACGGUGAAUAAAUAGCCGUGCGGAGGGAAACGCCGCGAACUGAAACAUCUAAGUAGCGGCAGGAAAAGAAAGAAAACUCGAUAUCCUUAGUAGCGGCGAGCGAAAGGGAUACAGGCCAAACCAAAGCGAGCAAUCGCUUCGGGGUUGCGGACUGCAGACGUCAUCGUAAGUCAAUAGCCGAAUUGUUUUGGGAAAGCAAGCCGAAGACGGUGAAAGCCCGGUAGGCGAAAUUGACAAGCGGACAGCAGAAUCCAGAGUAGAGCGGGACACGAGAAACCCUGCUUGAAGCCGGAGGGACCACCCUCCAAGCCUAAAUACUAAUCGGUGACCGAUAGAGAACGAGUACAGUGAUGGAAAGGUGAAAAGAACCCCGGGAGGGGAGUGAAAGAGAACCUGAAACCCUUUGUUUACAGACGUCGGAAGACAGCAAUGUCGACCGAGUACUUUUUGUAGAACGGUCCGGCGAGUUAUGAUGUUUAGCAAGGUUAAGCACUCAAGGUGCGGAGCCGAAGGGAAACCGAGUCUGAAUAGGGCGACUAGUUGAAUAUCAUAGACCCGAAACCAGGUGAUCUAUCCAUGUGCAGGUUGAAGUGACCGUAAAAGGUCAUGGAGGACCGAACCCACGUGCGGUGAAAAGCGCGGGGAUGACGUGUGGAUAGGGGAGAAAUUCCAAUCGAACUUGGAGAUAGCUGGUUCUCCUCGAAAUAGCUUUAGGGCUAGCCUUAUCAGAGUUUAGCGGAGGUAAAGCACUGAACUGGCAAGGGGGUGUAACAGCCUACCGACCCAUAUCAAACUCAGAAUGCCGCAUAAAUAUUGAUAGGAGUCAGACUACGUGAGAUAAGUUUCGUGGUCAAAAGGGAAACAGCCCAGAUCAACAGUUAAGGUCCCAAAGUGCGUGUUAAGUGGAAAAGGAUGUGAGAUUUCACAGACAAUCAGGAUGUUGGCUUAGAAGCAGCCACACAUUUAAAGAGUGCGUAACAGCUCACUGAUCGAGAGGUCUUGCGCCGAAGAUACACGGGGCUAAAACACGCCACCGAAACUAUGGGAUUGUACGGAAACGUACAAUCGGUAGAGGAGCAUUUUAUUGUAGGACGAAGCGGGAGCGAAAGCGACCGUGGACGAAGUAAAAGAGAGAAUGCCGGAAUGAGUAGCGCGAUAUAUGUGAGAAACAUAUAGGCCGAAUGUCUAAGGUUUCCUGGGUAAAGCUAAUCUACCCAGGGUAAGUCGGGACCUAAGGCGAGGGCGAAAGCCGUAGCCGAUGGAUAGCAGGCGGAAAUUCCUGCACCGCGAUUAUUCAGAAAUGUGGGGACACAGAAGGGUAACGGAAGCCGGGAACGGAAAAACCGGUUCAAGCGCAAAGUCAUGUCCGUAGGUAAAUCCGCGGAAUAAGACGAAGCGUGAUGAGGAGCGAAAUUAAAGUAGCGAAGUCCGCGAACCCAUGCUGUCGAGAAAAGCCGCUAUAGUGAUAAUCGUGCCCGUACCGCAGACCGACACAGGUAGACGAGGAGAGAAUCCUAAGGCCGGCGGGAGAAGCAUUGUUAAGGAACUCGGCAAAAUGACCCCGUAACUUCGGGAGAAGGGGUACCGGCGUAAGGCCGGUCACAGAAAAAAGGCUCAAGCGACUGUUUAACAAAAACACAGGUCUCUGCUAAACCGAAAGGUGAUGUAUAGGGGCUGACGCCUGCCCGGUGCUGGAAGGUCAAAGGGAGAGGUUAGGGGUAACCCGAAGCUUUGAACUCAAGCCCCAGUAAACGGCGGCCGUAACUAUAACGGUCCUAAGGUAGCGAAAUUCCUUGUCAGGUAAGUUCUGACCCGCACGAAAGGCGUAACGAUUUGAGCACUGUCUCAACAAUGCACCCGGUGAAAUUGAAGUGCCAGUGAAGAUACUGGCGACCCGCGACAGGACGGAAAGACCCCAUGGAGCUUUACUGCAGCUUAAUAUUGGGAUUCGGCAACUCAUGCACAGUAUAGGAGGGAGACUAUGAAGCUUGCGCUCCGGCGUAAGCUGAGUCGACAUUGGGAUACCUCUCUUGAGUUGUUGGAUUUCUAACUGACCACCGUGAACCGGUGGCAGGACAAUGUUAGGCGGGCAGUUUGACUGGGGCGGUCGCCUCCGAAAGAGUAACGGAGGCGCUCAAAGGUCACCUCAGAAUGAUUGGAAACCAUUCGCAGAGCGUAAAGGCAGAAGGUGGCUUAACUGCGACGGCGACAGUUGGAGCAGAUACGAAAGUAGGACUUAGUGAUCCGGUGGUAAUAAGUGGGAAUGCCAUCGCUUAACGGAUAAAAGCUACCCUGGGGAUAACAGGCUUAUCUCCCCCAAGAGUUCACAUCGACGGGGAGGUUUGGCACCUCGAUGUCGGCUCAUCACAUCCUGGAGGUGAAGAAGCUUCCAAGGGUUGGGCUGUUCGCCCAUUAAAGUGUUACGCGAGCUGGGUUCAGAACGUCGUGAGACAGUUCGGUCCCUAUCCGUCGUGGGCGUAGGAAAUUUGAGAGGAGCUGUCCUUAGUACGAGAGGACCGGGAUGGACGAAUCAAUGGCGCACCUGUUGCGUACCAAACGCAUAGCAGGGUAACUACAUUCGGAACGGAUAAACGCUGAAGGCAUCUAAGCGUGAAGCCGCCCUCAAGACUAGAUUUCCCGCGCAAGCUAAGACCCCUUGCAGACUACAAGGUUGAUAGGUGAAAGGUGUAAGCAUGGUAACAUGUUCAGCUGAUUCAUACUAAUAGGUCGAGCGCUUGAAC
rnacentral:rRNA from 1 species